rnacentral:rRNA from 1 species
CCUACGGGAGGCAGCAGUGAGGAAUAUUGGUCAAUGGGCGGAAGCCUGAACCAGCCAAGUAGCGUGCGGGAUGAAGGCCCUACGGGUCGUAAACCGCUUUUGCACGGGGAUAACACCCUCCACUUGUGGAGGUCUGCAGGUACCGUGCGAAUAGGGGCCGGCUAAUUCCGUGCCAGCAGCCGCGGUAAUACGGAAGGCCCGAGCGUUAUCCGGAUUAAUUGGGCUUAAGGGGAGGGUAGGCGGGCGUUAACGUCAGCGGUAAAAUCGCGGGGCUCAACCGCGCCCCGCAGUUGAAACUGGACGCCUUGAGUGCACAACAGGCAAGCGGAAUUCGUGGUGUAGCGGUGAAAUGCAUAGAUAUCACGAGGAACCCCGGUGGCGAAGGCAGCCUGCCGGGGUGCGACUGACGCUGAGGCUCGAAGGUGCGGGUAUCAAACAGGAUUAGAUACCCCUGUAGUC